UGCGUGUUAUUUUUUGCAGUAAAAAAAUCAAAGAUUUGACUGUCGAAGAAAAUUAUUUUUUAGUGGUGGUUCAUGGACUCACAAAAAUAGCAUAUCCUAUUAUAAAAAAUGAGUUUUCAACUCAAUGUCCUGACCAUGUUCUCAAUGAAAUUCGUUUGAGUAUUUACGAAAGGCAAUUGGUACAAUCAUUUGACAGGCGUAAAGUAGGGAAAAAUAGCCGAGAAGAAAGGAUACACCUUAAGCCUGAUCAUCAAAGACAACUAUUUUCACAAACAAGAGACAAAUCAGAGGACUUAGAUUUAGAAUUGAUGAUUUACAUUUUGAAAAAAAGAUCGAAUUCUGAAUGGAACAAAGUAUACAUCAAUCAGUUAGACGUCAUCGAAAAUAUCAGAAGAGAAAUUGAUCAAAGCCCUAGCGGAAAAUUAAACCAAACUCAAUUCCACGAUAUUUUAAACUGUUUGAGCAAGGCAGUCUUGCAUUUGGGAGGAGAAAUGUUUACAGAAGAAUUACUACGACUUCAGCAUAUAAAAAAUAUCUUAGAGUAAUUGAAAUGUUCAUUUCGGCAAACAGAACCAAGUGACAGUUUCAAUGACCGUUCAUUAUAUUACAAGAAGGAAACGUUCGUCAAAUUGCACAAAAUCGAAAUUGUAGCUUAAUAAACUAAUUGUGAAGUUGUAAAA